ensembl:rRNA 5S_rRNA 5S ribosomal RNA
GCUUACGGCCAUACCAGCCCAAGAACGCCCGGUCUCAUCUGAUCUCGGAAGCUAAGAAGGCUUGGCCCUGGUUAGUUCUUGGAUGGGAGACCUCCUGGGAAUACCAGGUGCUGUAAGCU